AGGACGAACGCUGGCGGCGUGCUUAACACAUGCAAGUCGAACGGAAAGGCCCUGCUUUUGUGGGGUGCUCGAGUGGCGAACGGGUGAGUAACACGUGAGUAACCUGCCCUUGACUUUGGGAUAACUUCAGGAAACUGGGGCUAAUACCGGAUAGGAGCUCCUGCUGCAUGGUGGGGGUUGAAAGUUUCGGCGGUUGGGGAUGGACUCGCGGCUUAUCAGCUUGUUGGUGGGGUAGUGGCUUACCAAGGCUUUGACGGGUAGCCGGCCUGAGAGGGUGACCGGGCCACGAUUGGGACUGAGAUACGGCCCAGACUCCUACGGGAGCAGCAGUGGGGAUA
rnacentral:rRNA from 1 species